rnacentral:precursor_RNA from 1 species
AGUUUAUGCUUUCCGUUAACCAUCUGCCUUCGCCACUUGCUUGAAUUAAAGAGGCUAUUGCCAAUUUUUGGGAAGCUAUAGGACGAAUGACUGCAACGUACGAAUUCAGUUUUUAGUUUUUUUUUUUCAAGCUUUUUAAUUUUUUUAUAAUACCACCUUUUUUAUUAGAUAGCAAAAUAAUACUUUUUUGCUGCAUCUAUCCUACUAAGCCGGCCGGUUGCAUGGACAGAUAAGAUACUACUUUCUCCGUUUCAUAAUGUAAGUCAUUUUAGCAUUUUCCACAUUCAUUUUGUUGUUAAUGAAUCUAGAUAGAUCUAUAUGUCUUUUUUAACUAACAUCAAAAUGAAUGUGAAAAAUGUUGAAAUGACUUACAUUGUGAACCGGAGGGAGUAAAAUAAGAGUACAGAGAGAGUAGAAAUGCUUACAAAUAAAUUAUCAGCUGAGCCGGCUGAGAGAGAAUUCAUGUAUAUAUGUGUGUGGAUCAUCAAAAAAGCUAAGAGAAGAAGAGGGAGGGUACAGCCUUGGUGAAAAGGGUAGUAGGCGUCGCAAGUACUUCCACCAUCUAACAGCUAAACCGCCCAAAGCUGUACUCUCUCUCUUCUCCAUUUAGCCUUCACGAUAUGAUCGUCCAUCGAUCUCCUUCUCUUAGUUGCUCUAGAAGUUGGAUCCCUCUGGGUUUAU